CUAAGCUUUUUUCUUGUGAUUCCGAUUUCAGUCAGUGAACCAAGUAAACCAAAGCAGUCUACAGAUCUGCACAUGUACAUCAUACCCUCAGUAACAGGAGCUGUCGCAAUAUUCUUUAUUAUCUUCGGCACUGUGUGGAUUCAAAGGAGAUGGAGAAGGAAUUAGGCUGCUGGAAAUAGAGGAACAAGGAAUACGCUUACAGGAGUGCACCAGAAUGAGCUUAAAUGAAGCUUCCACAAGAAGAUACAGACCUGCUGCCUGAAAGCUGCAGACAAGCCUACCAACAUCUAACUAAACAACAUCAGCUUUUCCUGCCGCCAUCUCCAGACUCGAACACAGCGUGCUUCACCCUUAGCAUGUGUGAUCUCAGAAAUGCAGUGUGGUGAUCAUUAUCAGAUCUCAGCACUUUUAGCCGUCUAGACUGCAUCUGCCUAUAUCAGACGCUAGCUAAUGCUUCUUUUAUUAAUCUGAAAUGGACAAAUAAUAAGCUGACAAAUGUUUCAGAUGUCAUAUACUAAUAUUUAAUAUAUAUAUAAAGUUAGGCUAAUCACAAUAAUGGACUGUAAAAAAGUUCUGCUUUGUACAGUUGGACACCCUUUGUAUGCUUUCAAUUUUUUAGCCUUUUGUUCUCUAAUUUAGCUUAGCCAAUUAUUUCACCCACUCAGUUGGACUCCACCUAUCUUUUGCGAUGCUCCCGACACUAGUCCCUACAAGACCAUGUGCAUGCCUCGUCCAAUAUAUAAUCUAAAGCCAACAAGUUUGCUCUCUCAGACUCUGGCUGCUGAUGUCAAAGCAGCAUUACUGAGGAUUCAAACUGACAAUCUUCAGGCCACAGUGUCAAUCCUUUAUCCUGUUUAGCCACUUAAGGCUUUUGUUUGCUAUUUAACGGUUAAUGGGUUAAUGUUACAUUGCUGAUGAUAAAAUGUAGCUGCAAGCGUCAAUAAAAAAGCCAUUUU